rnacentral:snRNA from 1 species
GCGCUCGCUUCGGCAGCACAUAUACUAAAAUUGGAACGGUACAGAGAAGAUCAGCAUGGCCCCUAAAGUUUGUUUAUAUAUAUAAAAUGUAAAUUUCUUU